UACGAAGGGGGCUAGCGUUGCUCGGAAUCACUGGGCGUAAAGCGCACGUAGGCGGAUUGUUAAGUCAGGGGUGAAAUCCUGGAGCUCAACUCCAGAACUGCCUUUGAUACUGGCGAUCUUGAGUCCGGGAGAGGUGAGUGGAACUGCGAGUGUAGAGGUGAAAUUCGUAGAUAUUCGCAAGAACACCAGUGGCGAAGGCGGCUCACUGGCCCGGUACUGACGCUGAGGCGCGAAAGCUAGGGGAGCAAACGGG
rnacentral:rRNA from 1 species